CAGCAGCCGCGGGAAAACGGAGGUCUCAAGCGUUGUUCGGAUUCAUUGGGCGUAAAGGGUGCGUAGGUGGCGGUGUAAGUCUAACGUGAAAUCUCGGGGCUCAACCUCGAAAUUGCGUCGGAUACUGCAUUGCUAGAGGAUUGUAGAGGAGAGUGGAAUUCAUGGUGUAGCAGUGAAAUGCGUAGAUAUCAUGAGGAAGACCAGUUGCGAAGGCGACUCUCUGGGCAAUUCCUGACACUGAGGCACGAAGGCUAGGGGAGCAAACGGGAUUAGAUACCCCCGUAGUCCCUGUCUCUUAUAC
rnacentral:rRNA from 1 species